GAUAGGAUUAAUGAUUAUUUUAAUUAUUAUAAUAUAUUAGAUUAGUAUAAUAAGUGAAAAUUAAGAUUGUUUUAUAGAAGAAUGAGUACUGCUUAGGAACUUUAGAUAUUUAUAAAAAAUAUUAGGUUAUUUAAUACCUUUUGUAUUAGGGUUUUUUAAUUUGAUGCGAUAUUGAUUUGUAUCUUGAUGAAUAUCGGGCUAUUAUUUAAGUGUAUUGAUUUUGUUGCAUAAAAUUCUUUUAUUACUUAAUGGUUAUGAAAUAUUAUUCAAGUUAUUUUUUAUCUAGUUUUCUAAGGAGGAUAAUAGUGGAUAUUUAUAUUGUGAAGGUAGGCGGGGAUUAGCUUGUUUAUUGUUUAUAUAUUUUGUUUUUAAGGUAUUUAUUAGUGGAGUUGAAAGUUCUUAGUUUAAUGGUGUUAUUAGAGAUUAAGUUUUAUUUGUUAAUUUUUUGCGGUUAUGUGUGAAUUAGGAGAUGUUAUUUUAAUUUUAAUUUUAAUGAUAUAAUGAUAAAAUUAGUAAUAUAGAAUUUAUUUAGUUUGUUGUUAAAUUAUUUUUUGAUAAUGAGUUAUGGUAAGGUAUUAAGAGUGAAGAAUUCGGCAAAAAUUAACUUCUGACUGUUUAGCAAAAACAUUGUUUUUUGUUUAGAUAAAAAAUAAGUUCUGUCCACUGCUGUGUAGUGAAGGGCUGCAGUAUUUUGACUGUAUGAAGGUAGCAUAAUCAUUAGUUUUUUAAUUGGGAACUGGUAUGAAGGUGAAACAGGGGUUGGCUAUUUUGUUUUUAAUUAGUGAAUUUUAUUUUUAUGUGAAAAAUCAUAAGUAGGUUAAAGGGACAAGAAGACCCUAGUAAGUUUUAUUUUUUAUUAUAAUGCGUACAUAGGCUAUAAAAUUUGUAUAAUUUAUUAUUAGGGAGUUUAACUGGGGCGGUGUGUUAAGAAACAUUAUUUAUUUUUUAAUUUUUGAUAGCGGUUAUUAAGACCUAAGUUGGUUAGUUGGGUGAAAAACUACUGUAGGGAUAACAGCGUAAUUUUUUUUAAGAGUUCUUAUUGACAGAAAAGUUUGCGACCUCGAU
rnacentral:rRNA from 1 species